rnacentral:rRNA from 1 species
UUGAGAGGAGCUGUCCUUAGUACGAGAGGACCGGGAUGGACGCACCGCUGGUGUACCAGUUGUUCUGCCAAGGGCAUAGCUGGGUAGCUAUGUGCGGAAGGGAUAAGUGCUGAAAGCAUCGAAGCAUGAAGCCCCCCUCAAGAUGAGAUUUCCCAGAGCGUAAGCUAGUAAGAUCCCUGAAAGAUGAUCAGGUUGAUAGGUUCGAGGUGGAAGCAUGGUGACAUGUGGAGCUGACGAAUACUAAUAGAUCGAGGACUUAACCAUAUAA